UACGGGGGGGGCAAGCGUUGUUCGGAAUUACUGGGCGUAAAGGGCUCGUAGGCGGCCAACUAAGUCGGAUGUGAAAUCCCCCAAGCUUAACUUGGGAACUGCAUCCGAUACUGGAUGGCUUGAAUCCGGGAGGGGGAUGCAGAAUUCCAGGUGUAGCGGUGAAAUGCGUAGAUAUCUGGAGGAAUACCGGUGGCGAAGGCGGCAUCCUGGACCGGCAUUGACGCUGAGGAGCGAAAAGCGUGGGGAGCGAUCCGG
rnacentral:rRNA from 1 species